ACAGCCCUACGAAAAAACGUACAUGGCUGUCACCCCAGGAGGAAGCCUCUUCUAAAGACGGUACACACGAAACCCCGCAAACAGUUUGCUGAAGACAUGUCAACAAAGCACAUGGAUUACUGGGACCAUGUCCUAUGGUCUGAUGAGAUGGGCGGGCUUUCUUGUGUACCGUCUUCAGAAGAGGCUUCCCCCUGGGGUGACAGCCAUGCACAACAAUUUUAUGUCGAGUGCGGCGUAUGGUCUGAGCACUAACAGGCUGACCCCCCACCUCUUCAAUCUCUGCAGCAAUGCUGACAGCACUCCUGUAACGAGUCACAUGACAUUUUGGAGGGAAAAUGACAAGCAGUACUCAAUUUGGACAUUUAGGGAUGUACGCAGUUCCCAUGCGUUGUAAUCACUUUUGUUGCCAGGAGUUUAGAUAUAAAUGGCUAUAUUUUGAGUUAUUUUGGGGGGAAAUUAAUGAACUCCAUGAUAUAAGCUGCACACAGACUACUUUUCAUUCUGUCAAAGUGUCAUUUUGUUAGUGUUGUCCCAUGAAAAGAAAUACUUAACUAUCUGCAGAAAUGCGAGGGGUGUACUCACUUUUGUGAUACGCUGUAUUUUAACUUAAAUUUCAGUGAGAAAAAUUAACUGUCGUAAUUUAACAUUGUAGUAUUGGUUAGUAGUUAGUAGUCGUUAGUAUAAGUCACAUCAGAUUUAUUUUGCAUUACUCAUUUUGCCCAGGGGUCCCCAAACUACGGCCCGCCUCCACAUUUGGACCAGCCCCUGGAAUUUUGGGGGGCUGCUUGAUUUGUCUAGCUGAGAAAAUAAUUCCCCUUAAAAACAACUGUUUUCUUUGUAAAUAUUCUUAAUGUAUGCCAAAUAAUUUUUACAAGAAAAAAUACAAAUCAUAAUGAAAUCAAUUUUUAUAAGGAUUACGACGCAAAUUUUAAGUACUUUCUGAAAACAAUCGAGCUGGAAUGAAUUCAAUUUUGAAACCAAAUCAGCAUCCCCGAUAGCAGGUGACUGUGCUUUGGAUAUGGCGUCAGCUCGCUAGAUUCACAUAGCAAUCAUGCCUUCUAAACGUCAGUGCGCCAGAUGCGGCCGGGAUCAUCAAGCCGACAGUCCAAAUGAUAGGUUACGCACAGUUCCGGGCCAUACCGUGUAGACCAGACGCGCUCACCAUCGAAAAUUUUUAACGGUCGACGAGUGACAUCACAACUGCGCGCACCCUGAAGGCGAGGCAUCCACGCUGUGACACUAAACAGGACAACGCGCGGGAAACAAAACACUGCAUCUCGGCGGACUGCAAAUUUUGAUGGUAAGUGCUUUAUUCAAAGUCCUAAUCGCGUUUUGUCACUUCUUGACUGUUAAACAAGUUAUUCAAUCAAGCGUUAACAAAAUAGCCAGUGUAUUUAAGUUAUCUGCCAUGUCUCCACGUCAUUCCAAUUUUGUUGCAGAACAACAUAUGGAGGGAGAACGCAUUUACUCUGUAUUGCUGUAAAUGUUUCAAUGUUGGAAUACCCUCAGGGCCCCUGCCCCCUGAGCCAAGCUCUUCCUCCUUGUGUUUGUGUACACUGCUGGCCAAAAGUAUUGGCACACCUGCAAUUCUGUCAGAUAAUGCACAGUUUCUCCCAGAAAAUGAUGGCAAUUACAAAUGCUUUGGUAGUAAUUUCUUCGAUGAAAAAACACAAAAGAGAAAAAAAAAAAAAAAAAAAACUAUUUUUGGCACCCUCAGCCUAAUACUUAAUAGCACAACCUUUGGACAAAAUAACGGCGAACAAUUGUUUCCGGUAUCCAUCAAUGAGUUUCUUACAAUGCUCUGCUGGAAUUUUAGACAAUUCUUCUUUAGCCAACUUCUCCAGGUCUCUGAGAUUUGAAGUGGGCCCUACAUCAUGCUGCAAAAUCUCUUGGUAGUCUUCAGACUUCUUAAUGCCAUGCACACGGUCAAGCAGUCCAGUGCCAAAGGCAGCAAGGCAAACCCAAGACAUCAGGGAACUUCCGCUAUAUUUGACUGUGGGGACCGUGUUCUUUUCUGUGAAGGCCUCGUUUUUUUCCUGUAAACUGUAUGUUGAUGCCUUCUCCCAAAAGCUCUACUUUUGUCUCAUCUGACCAGAGAACAUUCUUCCAAAACUGUUUCGGCUUUCUCAGGUAAGUUUUGGUAAACUCCAGUCUGGCUUUUUUUAUGUCUCUGCGUCAGAAGUGGGGUCUUCCUGGGAAUCCCUACGCUAGAGUCCCUUUUCAUUCUGACGCCAACGGAUAGUACGGGUGGACACUGUUGUACCCUCCGACUUCAGGACAGCUUGAACUUGUUUGGAUGUUAUUCGAUUUUCUUUAUCCACCAUCUGCACAAUGUUUCAUUGAAAUCUCUUGUCAAUUUUUCUUUUCAGUCCACAUCUAGGGAGCUUAGCCACAGUGCCAUGGGCUUUACACUUAUUGAUGACACUGCCGCGGUAGACACAGGAACAUUCAGGUCUUUGGAGAUGGACUUUUAGCCUUGAGAUUGCCCAUGCUUCCUCACAAUUUUGCUUCUCAAGUCCUCAGACAGUUCUUUGGUCUUCUUUCCUUUCUCCAUGCUCAAUGUAGUACACACAAAGACACAGGACAGAGGCUGAGUCAACUUUAGUGUUAUUUAGUUAUUGCCACACCGAGUUAUGUGCCACACAGGUAAGUACCAGGUGAUGUUAAUUACCCAAAUUAGAGAAGCAUCACAUGAUUUUUCAAGGGUGCCAAUACAUUUGUCUGGUCCAUUUUGGAGUUUUGUGUAAAAUUAUCAUGAUUUAAAUUUUUUCCCCCCAUUUUCUUUUGUGUUUUUUCAUUGCAAGCAAAGUAAAUGAAGAUAUUACUACCAAAGCAUUUGUAAUUGCAAUCAUCUUCUGGGAGAAAUUCAGCAUUAUCUGACAGAAUUGCAGGGCUGCCAGUAUUUUUGGCCAGCAGUGUAUGUGUGUCACUGCCUUGACUGCAGGAUUGUACAGAUGGGUGACCCUGGGACCAGGUGCAGGUGAUCUUCAGCAGCUUACGUAAAUCGGUCCUUGGCCUCAAAUCAUUGCCAGAUCAACUCAACUACACAAGUUGAUCCUGUACUGAUUGCCUGUCCGUUCACCUGUUCUAUCACCAAAUUGCCAACCGGAUUCUUCAAACACUAUCUGCUGCUCCCUCUCAUGGUCAAUUAACUGCCACUCCCUCUCAUCGUCAAUCAACUCUUGUUACCACUGCCAGUUUGCCCCAGUUUGCCUCAGUUUGCCUCGUAACUCCAGAACCUUAAAGCAGAAGUUCAGAAUUUUUGACAGUGGACUUAAUCUUCGAGUAAGCGGGCGUUUAAUUAGUUGGUGGAGUUGAUUUCAACAAAUUACGUGCAGUUUGUAAGUUAUUUGUUAGUUUCAGGGCUCUGAAGUGGCUAAGCUAGCACGAGUCAAUCGUCCCUUCCUAGCAUGCUAAUUAAAAAAAACGAUACAGAUAGACGAACAGAUCUAACAUAGUGAAAUAAAUUCAAAAUGCUUGAAAAUUGUUCCAUAACACCCAUGCGGCCAAAACAAUUGUCACACCAAACUACCGUAAUUCAUUUCAUUCUUCAGGAUUUUUUUUUUUUUUUUUUUUAAUGCUUAAUACAAC